rnacentral:rRNA from 1 species
UAGGGAAUCUUCCGCAAUGGACGAAAGUCUGACGGAGCAACGCCGCGUGAGCGAAGAAGGUCUUCGGAUCGUAAAGCUCUGUUGUUAGGGAAGAACAAGUAUCGGAGGAAAUGCCGGUACGUUGACGGUACCUGACGAGAAAGCCACGGCUACCUACGUGCCAGCAGCCGCGGUAAUACGUAGGGUGCAAGCGUUGUCCGGAUUUAUUGGGCGUAAAGCGCGCGCAGGCGGUCCUUUAAGUCUGAUGUGAAAUCUUGCGGCUCAACCGCAAGCGGUCAUUGGAAACUGGGGGACUUGAGUGCAGAAGAGGAAAGCGGAAUUCCACGUGUAGCGGUGAAAUGCGUAGAGAUGUGGAGGAACACCAGUGGCGAAGGCGGCUUUCUGGUCGGUAACUGACGCUGAGGCGCGAAAGCGUGGGGAGCAAACAGGAUUAGAUACCCUGGUAGUCCACGCCGUAAACGAUGAGUGCUAAGUGUUGGAGGGUUUCCGCCCUUCAGUGCUGCAGCUAACGCAUUAAGCACUCCGCCUGGGGAGUACGG